GAGCAAUGAGUCUGUAGGAGUAUGUACUUGUCUCCUCCAGGAAUUAUGUAGGUUGAGUGAGCCUUUAAUGUCAGGGAGGGGAGUUCAAGAGCAGCUGCAUUUCCUCUUGCUUGUGGUGGUGUGAGAGUGCAAGUCAAUGCUACAGUCCAGUGGCUGAGCCUUUGGUCUGCUGCCUGCCACACAAGCAGAGAUUAAGCACAGGAGAUACAAAGUUGACCAAAGUGGCAUUGUGAUGAUAAAAGCCUGAAACCAAAGCAAGAAAAAAGAGUCACAGACAUGUUGCUGCUACAAGCACCAUGAGGGUUUCUAAAGUGCACAGAAACUUCUUGUGUUCAGAACUACAACCUUGGACCCCUGCUUCUAUUUAGAUAUGUGCAGAGAGUUCAUCAGAACCAAUCAGCGUUUUAUCCAGAUUUCUGCAGGUAUAAGCUGCUCAAUUGCUCAUUUAAAGUGGCUCAGUGAGUGACACAUUGAUGUGAAGACAGAUUUGGAAAGAAGUCAUGGAGAAAUCAAGGCUGGUGAGUGAGGUAAAUUGAAGGAGAGUGCGUGGGAGCUGCUGCUGCUCAGGAGACAAGUACAAAGCUUGACCUGCCCUUCCUUUGAUGUCCAGACACCGCAGGACUUGAGACCAGGAAGCCAGAUCUUCCAGCUCCCUGUUCCUAAAUUCAAUCUUUCUGCCCUUUUAACUGGCUUCUGAAUAGGAAUGAAUAAGUGAGGAGUAAUGUCACUGACAGAGAACAAUUCCCCAAAGGAGCUAAGCACUGCAGGCUCUAGGGAAGCUGGUGAAGCAUCUUGGAAGUGCUCUGCAGAAAAAAGAUGCCUCUGGGGAGAACAUUUGUGGGAUCAUUUGUAUGGCUGAAGAUGUAUCUCAUACCUGAUCAGCUUUGCUGUUGUCUGAUCACUGUGUCGCCCUUUAUGGCCCCAGGACAUCAACCAAGUAGGGUAGGUCCAAAGUAGGAACUGUGCAUCUGAAUGAUUGAUUUUUUUUCUUUUUUAAAGAGCUAAGUAGAAGCUGAAGCUAAAGGAGAAACCAAGGGACUCCUAGAUCCUGGCAAGGAACAUGUCAAAAAAGCAGUCUGAAAUUUGUAGCUAGCUCAACAGAAAUCCUGCUGGCAGUGGAGAUGAGAGAAACAGACCCAAUUUUCCUUUCAAAUAGCUGACAGUGGGUAGAAAUUAAGUCUCUUCCAUGUUACUUCUCAGCUUCUGAUGAUGCCUGCUGACAACAGAUGCCACAGUUAGAAGGACACAGUCCAGGAAGGAAGGCUGGUGCAUCUGCCACCUCCUGGUUUGUGUCUUUUGUUCAAGCUGCAGCCAUCCCUUCUCUUUGUAUUUAGUGGCCUCUAACAGACCACUGCCCCUCUACUCUGUGCAAGCAGGAGACAAAAGCAGCUCUGAAAUAAAUGCCUUCUCCUCAGAGAAGGGCUACUUGGGAGUGCUGCUCUCAUCCUGACCUGAAUGGAGAAUCCUUAAAAAGAAGGACUGGGAGAAGUUGCACUGGCCAUGUCAGGGACAGCCUGGAGUUGCUGCUGAAUCUUGCUUUUGUACCUUCAUUUUCCCUUUUAGCAGCAGGUUUGAAAAGUGACAUCACCUUACAUCCUUCACCCAUUAUUUAGUACUUUACAAGAUUAAAUAGAAUCUCUUUGGGUACUUAAACAGGGACAAGGCACAGGAAACUGUAUAGCUUUCUAUCCUGCUGGGAUCUGAAAGUAAAUAAGAUUUGCUUUUUAAUCACAGAGUCAUCUUUAAAACACAGUAUAAAGGGCAAUUCUCUCCUCUUUCCAAAGAAAUUAAUUUUGUGGUGUAAGAAAUUGAGAAGGAAGCAGGAAUGGACUGGUGAGACUUUGUGGGCCAGAAGUCAUAUGCUUCAAGCAGCUCCCUAGUGUAGUUAAUACAGUUUGAUUAAAAUUAGCUUGGUUUUUUGUUUCACUAGUUAUCAUGCAGUAUUGCUCCCAGCUCUGAAAACCCACCCUUCUGGGUGCAGGAGGAGCUCCAGAAGCAUUUCUCCAGUCCUGUGAUCAGUUAUUCCCAAGUGAGGUGGGCCAAGGCAGCAGUCACAGUGUAACUGCAGGAUGGAUUUCAGCAUGGGCAGGGUGAUGUCAGAAUGCCACAGGGCCAUUGCCCUUCUGCAAUCCCUGAAAUGGCAUGGGCAUGUGCUAGAAAGGACCCAAGACACUGCUUUUCAAUGGGCAGGGAAGAUUAGUCUGGUCUGAUUGAUCUCCAAAGUGAAACACAGGGAGAGAAGUGAAGGUGCCUGCCUUGGGGCUUUGGAUCCCUAAGAGAGAAGAAAAGGGUCUGCAGAGAGUGGGACCAACCCACCUCUGUAUGUUGUUCCUGAGAAGAGUAUUUUCCUCCACAAUGAUGCUGGGGCUGUUACAGG